rnacentral:lncRNA from 1 species
UUGGAUGCUUAGGCUCCAAUCUACCAAAUUUAGGGUUUAUUCUUUCAUUCUUCCAUUGUAUUUCAUUUAGUUCAUCAUGAUUAUGGUGAACUAAACCCUUUGUUGUUAGGGAAUAAUGUAAUCUUUUGAAACUCUUUUAUAUCCAAAUUCUUAUUUAUUUUAUAUGCUUGCAUAUGCUUAAUUUAUCAAUUGUUGGGUUCCUUACCUUUNN